rnacentral:piRNA from 1 species
UGCCAACAGAACUGAGAUGGAAUGUCACA